rnacentral:rRNA from 1 species
AACUAACAAGGAUUCCCUUAGUAACGGCGAGUGAAGCGGGAAGAGCUCAAAUUUGAAAUCUUCAAGGUUCUACCUUGACGAAUUGUAGUUUAAAGAAGUGUUUUCUGUUAGAGGAGAGGCAAAAGUUCUUUGGAAUAGGACAUCAUAGAGGGUGAGAAUCCCGUAUUUGGUCAUUCUUUCUAGCUGUGUGAUACACUUUCAAAGAGUCGGAUUGUUUGGGAAUGCAGUCCAAAAUGGGUGGUAAAUUUCAUCUAAAGCUAAAUAUUGGCGAGAGACCGAUAGCGAACAAGUACCGUGAGGGAAAGAUGAAAAGAACUUUGAAAAGAGAGUUAAACAGUACGUGAAAUUGUCAAAAGGGAAGCGUUUGACACCAGUGUUGUUUUUCCGAAAAUCAAUUGUGCCUGGCUGGAUUUUGUAGGAGUUUGACCUUAUCAGCUUCUUCUGCUUUUUUCCGGUCUGGUGCAAUGCACUUUUCGGUUAACAAGUCAACAUCAAUUUCUUUUGUUGUAAAAGGGUAAUUGGAAGGUGGCCUUCUUUUCGGAGAAAGUGUUUAUAGCCUUUUACCUCUACAAUAGGAGAGAUUGAGGUCUGCAGCGUAGAUCCUUCGGGGUUAGAUACAUUUGUGCUAAGUUAUAGCCCUGUAUAGACAACUUGUUGACUAUACUCGGUCAUGUAGCUUACUCGCUUAUGCUAUUUUACCUACGCUUAGGAUGUUGACAAAAUGGUUUUAAAC